rnacentral:rRNA from 1 species
AACGAACGCUGGCGGCGCGUCUUAAACAUGCAAGUCGAACGGCAGGAAGGGGCUUGCCCCUUCUGAGAGUGGCGGACUGGUGAGUAACACGUGGGUGACAUACCUUUUAGUUGGGGAUAGCUAUUAGAAAUAGUAGGUAAUACCGAAUGUGACCGUACCUGUUAGAGGGGUACGAGGAAAGGAGCUAAGGCUUCGCUAAAAGAAUGGCUCGCGGCCCAUUAUGCUCGUUGGUGAGGUAACGGCCCACCAAGGCGAUGAUGGGUAUCCGGCCUGAGAGGGUGAACGGACACAUUGGGACUGAGAUACGGCCCAGACUUCUACGGGAGGCAGCAGUUAAGAAUAUUCCGCAAUGGACGAAAGUCUGACGGAGCGACGCCGCGUGGAUGAAGAAGGCCGAAAGGUUGUAAAAUCCUUUUAAGCCUGAUGAAUAAGCACAGUAGGGAAUGAUUGUGCGGUGACCGUAGGGCUUGAAUAAGCACCGGCUAAUUACGUG